GCUUCCGCAACAUAUACCGGGUGUGUUGUUGUUGUUGUUGUUGUCAUAUGUUAUAGUUUCUUAGAUGAUAUUGUUUUGAAUCUUCUUUUACUUGAUUUGAUUCUUCAUUUACUGCUAGUGUAGGAAGAAAUCGUUGUUGGUAGCUUAGGAGAAAUUAUUGUUGGUAGCUAAGAAAAAAGUCGUUGCUGGUAAGUAGUCUUUAAUUUAAAUUUUGGAUAAUUGAACUUAUGGUCUUACAAAUUUUUAUUCUAUUGUGUAUAUUGUCUUAUAAAGUUUUAUUGUGCUGUGCAUCAUUUUAAUAUAAAUGAAUUAAGGCCUAGAUCUUAUAGCAUUGACACGUUUUCAUAACAGUAGGAAAUGACGAAAAACUCAUAUUUUGGUGGUUGUACUGCUAUUUGUCUAGUUUUUCAAUCUCAAAUCAAACACUAAAUGAAAUUUCUGUAAUCAUUAACAUUAAUACCUCUCGUAAUCUUUAGUGUUUUACCAAAUUUUCUCAAUUUAAUGAUAUACAGAGAACGCUUCAAUCAUAAGUACCUGUACAAGCUAAGAUUAUAUUACUUCUUGCAGAGGUAGAGCAACUGAAGAAAGGGAAGAUGAAGAUAGUGAAGAUCUAGACCUUACUUAAGAAGAACUUUGAAUUGUUGUCGAUAUUCUAGGAGUCUUUUGUUAACAACAUUUGAAACUUUAACUUUUGAAAUGAUUGGGUUAAAACAUUUUGCUAUUAUGGUUCUUAUUAGCUUAUUGGACAUGAAAGUUUAUGAAGUGUUUAUCAUUUUAUUUA